rnacentral:rRNA from 1 species
CAAUAGCGUAUAUUAAAGUUGUUGCAGUUAAAAAGCUCGUAGUUGGAUUUCUGGUUGAAGCGACCGGUCGGGCGUUGAUUCGUCUGCACUGGAGUCGGUUUUGGCCAUCCUCUAGGAAAGUGCGUCUGGUAUUAAGUUAUCGGGCGUAUGAUCCUGGUCUUUUACUGUGAAAAAGUUAGAGUGUUUAAAGCAGGCCUUCGCCUUGAAUACAUUAGCAUGGAAUAAUAAGAUAGGACUUUGGUCUAUUUUGUUGGUUUGCAGACCGAAGUAAUGAUUAAUAGGGAUAGUUGGGGGUAUUUAUAUUCCGAUGUCAGAGGUGAAAUUCUUAGAUUUUCGGAAGAUAAACUUAUGCGAAAGCAUUUACCAAGGAUGUUUNCAUUA